rnacentral:lncRNA from 1 species
UUUUCUUUUUUUUCCCUUUUUUUGAUUUGUCUCGUUCCGACUUCAAAAAAAAAUAAGUCUCCUGAUCUCGUUGAUAACAAUUCGGUUACACCCUCAUAUGACUUCGACAAUCCGAUCUAUCAUGCCCAAGAAGAAGGCGAAGAAGAUUGUGAUCUGCUGGAAGAUUAGCCAGGUUGUUGAAACAAGAGGAGAAGGUGAUUCGGCCGCACGAGGAGCGAGUUGGGAUUGUUAAUCCAGGCACCG